GAUGAACGCUGGCGGCGUGCUUAACACAUGCAAGUCGAACGAUGAAGCCCAGCUUGCUGGGUGGAUUAGUGGCGAACGGGUGAGUAACACGUGAGUAACCUGCCCUUAACUCUGGGAUAAGCCUGGGAAACUGGGUCUAAUACCGGAUAGGAGCGUCCACCGCAUGGUGGGUGUUGGAAAGAUUUAUCGGUUUUGGAUGGACUCGCGGCCUAUCAGCUUGUUGGUGAGGUAAUGGCUCACCAAGGCGACGACGGGUAGCCGGCCUGAGAGGGUGACCGGCCACACUGGGACUGAGACACGGCCCAGACUCCUACGGGAGGCAGCAGUGGGGAAUAUUGCACAAUGGGCGCAAGCCUGAUGCAGCGACGCCGCGUGAGGGAUGACGGCCUUCGGGUUGUAAACCUCUUUCAGUAGGGAAGAAGUGAAAGUGACGGUACCUGCAGAAGAAGCACCGGCUAACUACGUG
rnacentral:rRNA from 1 species